UACGUAGGGGGCAAGCGUUGUCCGGAAUUAUUGGGCGUAAAGAGCGUGUAGGCGGUUCGAUAAGUCUGCUGUAAAAGUCCAGGGCUCAACCCUGGAAAGCCGGUGGAUACUGUUGAACUAGAGUCCGGAAGAGGCGAGUGGAAUUCCUGGUGUAGCGGUGAAAUGCGCAGAUAUCAGGAAGAACACCAAUGGCGAAGGCAGCUCGCUGGGACGGAACUGACGCUGAGGAGCGAAAGCGUGGGGAGCAAACAGG
rnacentral:rRNA from 1 species